GUGUGUGUGUGUGUGUGUGUACAAGCAGGGGGAGCUGCAGGCAGAGAGAGAAGCAGACUCCCCACUGAGGAGGGAGCCUGAUGUGGGGCUCGAUCCCAGGAUCCUGGGAUCACCACCUGAGCUGAAGGCAGCCACCUAACCAACAGUGCCACCCAGGGAUCUGCUGAACAACCCCUGGCACUCCAAUGAAAAGAUGAGUAUAACAUGGAGUCUCUCCGGUUCUGUGUUUGGGAUUCUCUCUCUCUCCUUCUGCCUCUCCCCUCCCACAAUAAAUACAUAAAUUGUGUAAAAAAUAUUAAGCUACCAUAUGAUCCAGCAAUCCCACUUCAGGGGGUUUCAGGGGGUUUAUACAAAGGAACUGAAAUCAAGAUCUCAAAGAGAUAUCCACACAUCUAUGACCAUUGAGGCAUUGUUCACAAAGACCACUGACAGAAAGAAAUCUUUCUCUUUUUUUUAAAGUUGUAUUUAUUUAAGUCACCUCUACAUCCUUACGCCGUAUGCAAAGAUAAACUCAAAAUGGAUAAAAGACCUCAACGUGAGACAGGAAUUCAUCAGAAUCCUAGAGGAGAACAUAGGCAGUAAUCUCUUCGAUAUCAGCCACAGCAACUUCUUUCAAGAUAUGUCUCCAAAAGCGAAGAUGAACUUUUGGGACUUCAUCAAGAUCAAAAGCCUCUGCUCAGCAAAGGAAACAGUCAAAAAAACAAAGAGUCAACCCACAGAAUGGGAGAAGAUAUUUGCAAAUGACAGUACAGACAAAAUGUUGAUAUCUAGGAUCUAUAAAGAACUCCUCAAACUCAACACACACAAAACAGGCAAUCAUAUAAAAAAAUGGGCAGAAGAUAUGAACAGACACUUCUCCAAUGAAUACAUACAAAUGGCUAUCAGACACAUGAAAAAAUGUUCAUCAUCACUAGCCCUCAGGGAGAUUCAAAUUAAAACCACAUUGAGAUAUCACCUUACACCAGUUAGAAUGGCCAAAAUUAGCAAGCCGGGAAACAACAUGUGUUGGAGGGGAUGUGGAGAAAGAGGAACCCUCUUCCACUGUUGGUGGGAAUGCAAGUUGGUGCAGCCUCUUUGGAGAACAGUGUGGAGAUUCCUCAAUGUGGGGCUUGAACUUGCGACCAAGAGUUGUAUACUCCGACUGAGCCAGCUAAUUGCCUCCAGAAGUGAAGAAAUUGUUAAAUCUCAGUGGCAGACUUCCUGGCUCUCUGCUCUUCAGAACCACAUAUUGAUUUCCUCACCACUGACACCUGAGUGUUGGAUCUGAACAGGACCCACAGGUGGCUCUGGUGACUGAGAUGGCAUCCUUUCUAAAGGCCCUAGGCCCUCUCUUGGCCCUGCUAUUUCCCCUAGGUGGUCUGCUUGUACACAGCCAGAACAUUUCCUGGAAGGAAUUCAUGAAACAGCACUACCUGAGCACAAGCUGGAAAUUCAGCGACUACAAAUGCAAUGAUCUCAUGAGGGAAAGAGAAGCUCCACAAGACAGGAACUAUCACAUCUUCAUCUAUACCUUUUGGCACAAAAUUGAGCAUAUUUGCUUCAGGAAGUGGAGAGACCGUUACAGAAAUGUAUACAUAUGGGCCCAGCAUCCCUUCAAAAUACUCCAGUGCUACCAGGAGGGCAACCAAAAGAGCUAUAGAGAGCAUGGCGGCUACAGCUACAUUGAAUUCCACUGUGGCAUGAACGGGGCUCAGAACCCUUCCACGCUGGCAGAGGAACAGCAGACAAAAGCUUCUGAGCCUGGGACUAACCACUGUCUCUAUCCUCAGCAGGAGCCCCAAUAAGGAGACCUGAGACAUGUCUUAAAAGCGGUUGUUGGGCCAGUGUUGAAGAAGUUACUGCCUAUGUUGUCCUCCAGGAUUUUGAUGGAUUCCUGUCUUGCAUUAAUCCAUACACCCAAGUGGGGCUCAAAAUGACAACCUGAGAUCAAGAGUCACAUGCUCCUCUGACUGAGACAGCCAGUGACUCUUUAGGAAGCAGUGAGUGCCCAGAGCAGACCAGCACACGACUGAGGCCUUAUCUCAACUGUGCACCCACAGACUGACUUCAAGUUUGGGCUCAGAACCCUUCCCUGCUGCAAGCAGGCCAUGCUGGCAUAUCUGGCAGAGGAACAGCAGACAAAAGCAUCUAAGCCUGGAACUAACCACAGCCUCUGUCCUGAGCAGGAUCCCCAGCAAGGAGACCUG